rnacentral:lncRNA from 1 species
CUCUCGUUUCAAAAAAAAAAACCUGUGAAAUAACUUUUCAUCGACACGCCACUGAGGUCAACUUUUGAUGCGUCACGCGUGCGGGGCCGUCUCUCCUUAUGUCCUCCUCUUCUCCUCUCUCUCUCUCUCACCCCAAUUCUCUCUUUGUGUGCUUCUUCAACCUGCGCUGGAGCUUGCUAUGUCGUGACCGCCGUGGUGACUAAGGUGUAAGCGAGGUGGAGAUCAAGUUGGAGUGGCAGCGUUGUGGCAAGGUGGUCAUCAGCCACCGGCGAGGUAAUUCCAUGGCACAAGUUACAAGUUGGAGGGGGAUGGGGUUGCCAACGCCAGAGAAGAAGUUCGGUAUGGUACCCCGGUCUUGGAGGUAUGGCAGUGGUGGUGGCUAAGGGUGGGAGGGUGUCGACACAGUAUACAGUAUUAGCUAAGAAAUUUUAAUCUAUACUAGCAGGUGUGCCCGCGUGUUGCUACGGGUCAAUAAAAUCACAAACUAUUUAUUUUUAUUUUCUGUGUAGGCAACUUAUGGCGCUGUCGAGGUCGGCAUGCAGGUGUGGUGGCGUCGGUUGUAAGAUGGAGUAGGAAAAAUCGUGAAAAAAACUGGAGGAAAAAAAAAUAACGGGCAGUGGCAUAUUGGUUGUAAUUUUAACUGAAGGAAAAGAAAAUAACGAGCAGUGGCAUAUUAUAUUGGUUGUAAUUUUAACGAAGUUAACCUACGGCGACCGUGACCGUACCAUCACCACCAACUCCAAUUUAAUAGAUAGUAAUAGAUACGCACAUGACUUACUUCAGAAUGUACUUUAACUUCAAAAAUCAAUUUUUUAUAAAAAAAAAAUCAGCUUUCACUGGGCCCGAGCCCAGAAACGCCGCACAGUUCCCAUUUAUUGAUACCCGAUCAAGCAAAUUCCGGC